rnacentral:pre_miRNA from 2 species
UCUUACGGAUAAGCAAAGUAAGUGGCUUCUUGAGAUGGCAUCCACUCCUGGUGAUGAUGCUGUGAA